AGUGUAGCCCUGCACAUGCGCAGUUGUCUAUACUGCUCAGAGCGCAUGAGCAGCUUUCCUCCGCUACACAGUUAGUGUAGAGAGGCUGGAAAACUUUAACGGCUGUUCGGCUGACGUCUGAGGCAUGAUGGAGGUUUGGCUGAGAGCUGAGUCCAAGAAAACGCCUAGACACGAAGCCCAGAGCCAAAAUAAUGUCCCCCACAUCCCUUUUGGCCUCUACAUUAUUCUCAUUGUAAUACACAUUUCGUGCAUCUGGUGAUUAGAACUUCUGGCAACAAUCCGUUCGCAGCAUUUACAUAGUGGCUGCAUGGACUCCCAGCAUAAGCAAAGGGCUUCUACUGAGAAGGAAAUAAUAGAUUCCCAUGAUCUGUCACCUAGAUAAACCAAUGAUCUUGUAGAAAAGAAGAAAGAGAAGUUUGUGUAACCGCAGAGGGAAGACUGGGAAUGGAGCCAGGACAGUCGUGUAAUCGCUUUGGAUUCAUUCAUGAGAGACAUCUCAGCCUAAAGAUGGGAUCUGACCACUGUGGUUGCAAUAAACAUGAUUAG